UACAGAGGGUGCAAGCGUUGUUCGGAAUUAUUGGGCGUAAAGCGCGUGUAGGCGGCUUUGCAAGUCGGGUGUGAAAUCCCUCAGCUUAACUGAGGAAGUGCGCCCGAAACUGCAGAGCUUGAGUACCGGAGAGGAUGGUGGAAUUCCCCAAGUAGAGGUGAAAUUCGUAGAUAUUGGGAAGAACACCGGUGGCGAAGGCGGCUCACUGGCUCAUAUCUGACGCUCAGGCGCGACAGCGUGGGGAUCAAACAGG
rnacentral:rRNA from 1 species